CGCGUAGGCUGUUUUUCAAGUCAUUUGUGAAAACCUCAGGCUUAACUUGAGGACUGCAUAUGAAACUGAAAAACUUGAGUGCAGUAGGGGAAAGUGGAAUUCCUGGUGUAGCGGUGAAAUGCGCAGAUAUCAGGAAGAACACCGGUAGCGAAGGCGGCUUUCUGGGCUGCUACUGACGCUGAGGCGCGAAAGCUAGGGGAGCGAACAGGAUUAGAUACCCUGGUAGUCC
rnacentral:rRNA from 1 species